rnacentral:misc_RNA from 1 species
CAGAGUUCAUGCCCUUCGGGGUCUUCUAUACCACCCUUUGUUUAUUACACCUUUGUUGCUUUGGCAGGCCUGCCCUCGGGCUGCUGGCUCCGGCCGGCGAGCGCCUGCCAGAGGACCUAAACUCUGUUUGUCUAUAAUGUCUGAGUACUAUAUAAUAGUUA